rnacentral:lncRNA from 1 species
GAAAAUCAAGGAAGGAUAAGGGGAGAGUUUUUAGGAGAAAAUCAAGGAAUUUGAGAAGGGGGAGUGUUGUGCUGAAUUUGUUCUUUAGACAGUAGGUAAUCGGUUUGGGGUUUUCUUUUCAGUCUGUCUGCUUCGGUUUUGGUCAGUUUUUCUUUCUUCCUUUUUUUUCUUUUUUUGUGCCAAUUUUUGCUAAGGCUUAGUGUAUCUCUCGAGUGUGUUGGAUCUUUUUUGCUACUUAUCUCUUUUCCUACUGUGUGUUGGUCAAAUAGUUUCGAUUUCCCCCUGUCGAACACACUUUUCUCUUCCCUCUUCUUUUGUGGCCAAAUUUCUCUUCCCUUGUCCCUCUUCUCUUCUUUGCUAGCUGAACCUCCCCUCUCUUCUCCUCUUCUUCAUUGAUCGAAUAUUUUUCUCUUACUGCUUGUGAUUUCUAUCUUCUAUUAUUUUCUUUUUGACUUAGAGCGAUCUCUCUAUUUAUUUUGAGUGUGGUUCAGCCGAUUAUCACCUUUCUAUUCUAUUUCUCUGGGCUGAUCUUCUCCUCGCUAUUUUUGCUAUCUCAGUGCUGC